AUUUGAUGAUGAGGGCAACUAUUACACAACUUUUUGAAAUGCUCUCAAUGUUCAUAGAGAGUUUAUCCAUCAAAUUGUUGAAUACCAUAAAUUUUUUUCCUUAUGUU